rnacentral:lncRNA from 1 species
UCAUACGGGACUAAGUCUCACACAACGUGAUUUAAUUAAAUUUCACAUAUGAAACUUAACAAGCAAUAUAGAGGUCUCCCCUUUUUUUUUUUCAUUCUUUUAGGUUAACAAUGGCAAAAAAAAAUUAUAUGGAUAGCAAAAAAUUGCCUAUAUUUUAAGAUGCUACAAUAUCAAUCUUGCAUUUUGCAUAUUGCCGCAAUAUGGUCCACACUCUACUCAAUUCUGAUCAUGGCUUGUCGGAGAUGCCUACAUGUUAAUUGCAUAGAGAUAGUUGUCUAAUAUAGACUCUUUCUUCCUUUUUCUAAGACACAUGGAAUUUGACAUGAUUUAUAGAACCCUAGCAGAAGUGCUAUCCUCAUCGCCACCCCUCUACCUUGUCCCCAUCCUUUUGAUGGCUUAAGCACUAUUUUUAUUAUAUUAAGGAAGCGACAGUACAUGGGGAGAAGCAACUACUCCUCUAAUGGAAUGCUAAUAGAAGAGCCCUCCCCAUCUCUGUCGUUGCCCCUCCACCUUGCCGCCCCCCCUCCCCCUCUGGUGGCUUUAAUGGUCCCAUCAUUGCGGAUAUCCUCCACCUUUAGCUCGAUUACCAU